UACGUAGGGUGCGAGCGUUAAUCGGAAUUACUGGGCGUAAAGCGUGCGCAGGCGGUUCGUUGUGUCUGAUGUGAAAGCCCCGGGCUCAACCUGGGAAUGGCAUUGGAAACUGGCGAGCUGGAGUGUGGCAGAGGGGGGUGGAAUUCCGCGUGUAGCAGUGGAAUGCGUAGAGAUGCGGAGGAACACCGAUGGCGAAGGCAGCCCCCUGGGCCAACACUGACGCUCAGGCACGAAAGCGUGGGGAGCAAACAGG
rnacentral:rRNA from 1 species